rnacentral:rRNA from 1 species
GACGAACGCUGGCGGCGUGCUUAACACAUGCAAGUCGAACGAUGAACUUGGAGCUUGCUCUGGGGGAUUAGUGGCGAACGGGUGAGUAACACGUGAGUAACCUGCCCUGGACUCUGGGAUAACUUCGAGAAAUCGGAGCUAAUACCGGAUAGGACCUUGCACUGCAUGGUGUGGGGUGGAAAGUUUUUCGGUUUGGGAUGGACUCGCGGCCUAUCAGCUUGUUGGUGAGGUAAUGGCUCACCAAGGCGUCGACGGGUAGCCGGCCUGAGAGGGUGACCGGCCACACUGGGACUGAGACACGGCCCAGACUCCUACGGGAGGCAGCAGUGGGGAAUAUCGCACAAUGGGCGCAAGCCUGAUGCAGCAACGCCGCGUGCGGGAUGACGGCCUUCGGGUUGUAAACCGCUUUUAGUAGGGAAGAAGCCUUCGGGUGACGGUACCUGCAGAAAAAGGACCGGCUAACUACGUGCCAGCCGCCGCCGUAAGAC